UAUGGGGCAGAAAUUUGGGGUCUGUGGGUCGAUCUAUGGGGCGGGAUUCGGGGUUUGGGGGCUGGGAUUUGGGGUCUAUGGGGUGGGAUUUGGGGUUUGGGGUCAAUCUGUGGGGCGGGAUUUGGGAUCUAUGGGGAAGGAUUUGGGAUCUGUGGGGCGGAUUUGGGAUCUAUGGGUCGAUCUAUGGGGCUGGGAAUGGGGUUUGGGGUCGGUUAUGGGGCAGAUUUGGGAUCUCUGGGGCCCAUUCGCUGCUGCUGGCGGCACUUGUGGGGCUGGGGCCGCUGCUGUGGGGCAGAGGGGAUCCCCACAGCGUGCUGGCCUCGCCCCAUAACCGGCUGGAGGCCCGCCUGACCGCCAGCGCCCCCGCCUGGACCUGGCUGCUGAUUGGCUCCCUGCUGGUGGCCUCCUACCCGUGGCUCCGCCCCCCCUGGCGCUCCGCCCUGCGCGCCCUCGCCCGAUUGGCCGUCGCCGUGGCGCUGUCCCGCGCCGGCCACGCCCUCGGCCACGCCCUGGAGGCCGCCACCGGAAGCUGCACAAGCCCCGCCCCCGGCGGGACGCUGCUGCUGCCAAUCAGAGAGCCGGAAACCUGCCGGGGGGCGGGGCAUCGCUGGGAGGGGUUUGGCCCCGCCCCCCAGGCCUUUGACCUGGUGCAUUGUGGGUUGGGGCUCGCCGAGGAGGCGGCGGCGCUGGGGAGGAGGAUCUACGGGCUGGGCAAGAUGGCCGCCGCCAGCAAGAUGGCCGCCGGGCACAAGAUGGCUGCCAUGCGCAAGAUGGAUGACCCAUACAAGAUGGCUGACCCAUACAAAAUGGCCACCACGCACAAAAUGGCCGACCCAUACAAAAUGGCCGCCGGUAGUGAGAUGGUUGAAAGAUCCAAGAUGGCCGACGCACCCAAGAUGGCUGACCCAUACAAAAUGGCCGACCCAUACAAAAUGGCUGCCGGGUAUGAGAUGGGUGAGAGAUCCAAGAUGGCCGCCGGAUAUGAGUCGGGUGAGAGAUCCAAGAUGGCCGACCCAUACAAGAUGGCUGCCGUGCACAAAAUGGCCGACCCAUACAAGAUGGCUGCCAGUAGUGAUACGAUUGAGCAAUCCAAGAUGGCCGCCGGAUAUGAGACAAGUGAGCGAUCCAAGAUGGCCGACCCAUACAAGAUGGCCGCCGGGUCUGAGAUGGUUGAGCGAUCCAAGAUGGCCGCCCCAUACAAAAUGGCCGCCGGUACUGAGACUAUUGAGAGAUCCAAGAUGGCCGCCAGGUAUGAGACAAGUGAGCGAUCCAAGAUGGCCGACGCACCCAAGAUGGCCGCCUGGUCCAAGAUGGCCGCCUGGUUUAAGAUGCUGCCUUGGUUCAAGAUGGCCGCCGGGCCCAAGAUGGCCGCCGGAUAUAAAACAGGGGAUGAAUCCAAGAUGGCCGCCGGAUCCAAGAUGGCGGCCGGAUCCAAGAUGGCCGCCGAACACGACACAGAAGAAGAAUCCAAGAUGGCGCCGUGGGCGUGGCCGCGCCCAACAUGGCGACCAAUCGGCUUCGAGUGGGCGGAGCCCUCUCAUGCAAAUGAGGGGUGGGCGGGGCCAUUUUGGGGCGGCCAUUUUGAAGGGCGACACGGCGGCGGCCAUUUUGAAGUGGAAAGGGGCGGCCAUUUUGAAUCUGGCCGCCAUUUUGCUUCCGGCCGCCAUUUUGAAUCUGGACGCCAUUUUGAUUCCGGCCGCCAUUUUGAAGAAAGACACGGCGGCCAUUUUGAAUCCGGCCGCCAUUUUGCUUCCGGCCGCCAUUUUGAAGAAAGACACGGCGGCCAUUUUGCUUCCGGCCGCCAUUUUGAACUUCAACGCGGCGGCCAUUUUGACGGCGGCCAUUUUGAAUCCGGCGGCCAUUUUGAAUCCGGCGGCCAUUUUGAUCCCGCUUUUUUCCUCCCUCACCCCGGCCGCCAUUUUGAUGCUCCCGGCGGCCAUUUUAACCCCCCAGGCCGCCAUUUUGACUAUCCUGGCGGCCAUUUUGACCCCUCCGGCGGCCAUUUUGACCCCUCCGGCGGCCAUUUUGACCCCUCAAGGCGCCGUUUUUUCACCACCGGCGGCGGCGGCCAUCUUGCGGGCGGCCAUCUUGGGCCCCCGCCGGCGGCGCUGUCGCUGCUGUUCCUAUUGGCUGUUCUGCUGCUGCUGACGUGGCACUUCCUGUUGGUGGUGACGCUCCUGUACCGGCACAGCCGCGCCCGGAACGCCGCCGGCGCCGCGCUGGGAUGGGCCGGGUGGGCCCUGACCUACCGCGGGUGGUACCGGCGGCCGUGGGCGCCCGGCCCGCCCGGCUGGGGCUGA
ensembl:lncRNA